rnacentral:rRNA from 1 species
UCGAGGAUCUUCGGCAAUGGGCGCAAGCCUGACCGAGCGACGCCGCGUGCGGGAUGAAGGCCUUCGGGUUGUAAACCGCUGUCAGUGGGGAGAAAAUUCACGUGGGUACUCCCUCGUGAUUGAUCUAUCCGCAGAGGAAGUGUGGGCUAAGUUCGUGCCAGCAGCCGCGGUAAGACGAACCACACAAACGUUAUUCGGAAUCACUGGGCUUAAAGGGUGCGUAGGCGGCGCGGUAAGUUGGGUGUGAAAUGCCUCGGCUUAACCGAGGAACUGCGCUCAAAACUACCGUGCUUGAGGGAGAUAGAGGUGAGCGGAACUUAGGGUGGAGCGGUGAAAUGCGUUGAUAUCCUAAGGAACACCCGUGGCGAAAGCGGCUCACUGGAUCUCUUCUGACGCUGAGGCACGAAAGCUAGGGUAGCGAACGGGAUUAGAUACCCCCGUAGUCC